CAGCCGCCGCGGUAAUACGUAGGGUGCGAGCGUUAAUCGGAAUUACUGGGCGUAAAGCGUGCGCAGGCGGUUUUGUAAGACAGGCGUGAAAUCCCCGGGCUUAACCUGGGAAUGGCGCUUGUGACUGCAAGGCUAGAGUGCGUCAGAGGGGGGUAGAAUUCCACGUGUAGCAGUGAAAUGCGUAGAGAUCGGGAGGAACAUCAGUGGCGAAGGCGGCCAUCUGGGACAACACUGACGCUGAGGCACGAAAGCGUGGGGAGCAAACAGGAUUAGAUACCCCCGUAGUCCCUGUCUCUUAUAA
rnacentral:rRNA from 1 species